CGCCCUAUUUGGUCUCUGCGGGUUAGGCAGCAGGAGGGGAGGCGUGCGCGGCGGAAGGGGACGCGGAGCGGACUCGGGUGCGCGAAGGCUCCUCUCUCACUCGCGCAGCCGCUACCUCGGUUGCAAGCCCACGAGGCCUCCGCGUCUUGCCCUCGGAACAAUGGGACUCGGCUCGCGAGGUUUCUUGGCGGUGCUGGCCCUAGGGGCCGUGCUGGCGAUAGCGCUGCUGAAGAUUGUCGCCGACAGCACAGACUUGGAGGAAUCUGCAGACAAGAAGAAUUCUAUGUCUCUAAAAGGCAACGGUGCUGACCCAACAGCUGGUGCACUGACCUCUUAACCAUGAGUUGUUCAUUCAUAAUUCCCCAAAGCCUGCUGUCAAAGGCUGCCCUUAGUGGGCGUCAGUAAAUGAUAGUUUUUCUCAGUCUAGCAAAGAUGUGAAUAAAUUCUAAAUUAUAAUUUUUUCUUUAUUAUUUUUAAGUUAUUUCCAUAAAUUUUAACAUAUAAACUCUAAAUUUAGAAUUUAGUAAAUUUAUAAAUUUUCUAAAUUCUAAAUUUAGAAUUUAUAUAUUUAGAAUUUAAAAUUUUUCUAAAGUAUAAAUUCUAAAACUAAAAGCAUGCUGGAAUUUAAUACUGAGUUUUGAAGCACAUAUUUAGGUAUCACGUUUUGCUCUCUGCCUAUAGAUUUGAACUCUGAAUAUGCAAGUCUGCCAUUCUUGCUGGUGGAAUAGGUCACUCUAAGCUGAUCCGCUGUGACAGCCUUAAUUUGCCUUGGUGAACUCUAAGGAUACUCUACUUAUACCUCACCCAUCAGUUAGAUUUCAACCCACCAUCUUGCUUCUGUAAUAGAGGAGGCCCUUUUCUUGUGCUUUUAGUUUGGGACAAAUGGCUUUGUUCCUUGAUUUUCUGAGUUCAUUAGCAUGGAAAGAUACAGAAACCAGACUGAUCUUAUAAAUAUAAAUAGAUGUUAUAAAUAGUAAACCAUCAAGGCAUGUUUUUUGUAAGCAGUAUUUAUCUUCUCACGAUCCUUAAGAGUUGACAGAGGUAGAAACCGGAAAAAGGUGUACAUAUCCUAUCACUGGACCCAUAUUCUCUAGUUUUAUUCAGCAGAUAUUUAUCCAAUGUCUCUAAGGUGUGGACACAUUGCAAAAUGGACCAAGCUCUGACUUAUUGGAGUUAUUGUUGUGGGGGGGGGGCAUUGUUUUACUUCAUUGUAGGAAAAUACGCAUAACAUAAAAUUCAUAAUGUUAGCCAUUUUUAAGUAUACAGCUCAAUGGCAUUAAAUACAUUCACAUUGUUGUGCAGUGUUACAGAGUUUUUAUUCUUGUGGGUGUCCUGUGCUCCAUGUAGUUCAUAUUUCAGUUUGCCUCUGGGCUUGCUUUUCAUUAUCUCUGCCUACUGGUUUCUGGCGCACAUACUUUUAUUCUGGUUCUAGUAAUUCUACAGUAAAUUUUCAAUGGGGAAAAAAAAGACUACAUAGAUUAUCCUAAGUGUAAUUGUGAUUUGCAAAUAUUUUCUCCUGUUCAGUAGGUGGCCUUUUCAUUUUGUUGAUGGUUUCCUUCGCUGUGCAGAAGCUUUUUAGUUUGAUGCAGUCCUACUUAUGUUUGCUUUUGUUGCUUUUGAUGUCAGAAAAAGUUGUUGCUAACACUACUGUCAGGGAGUUUACCACCUAUGUUUUGUUCUAGAAGUUUAUGGUUGGAGGUGUCAUGUUCAAGUCUCAUCCAUUCAUAUCCAUGAAUUAAUUGUUCUGUAUGGUGUGUCACCCUUAAAAAUUAAAUAGCCAGUUAUUUUACCAGCAAAAUGAGUUUAUGUGGGAAUAGCAGAGGGAUUGCAGGUCUGGAGAACAAAGGAGAGGAGUGUGUGGGUUGUUUUGUUUUGUUUUGGGGUUUUUUUGUCUUUAGGGCCACACCCCUGGCAUAUGGAGGUUCCCAGGCUUGGGGUCCAAUCAGAGCUAUAGCCAUCAGCCUACGCCACAGCAACAGCAAUGCCAGAUCCAAGCCGUGUCUGCAACCUACACCACAGCUUACAGUAAUCCUGGAUCCUUAACCCACUGAGCCAGGCCAGGAAUCAAACCUGUGUCCUCAUGGAUGCUAGUCAGAUUCGUUUACACUGAGCCAUGAUGGGAACUCCACAGAGUGUGUUUUUAUAGAGGAAGGGAGGAAGUUGGAAGGGUCUGCUUCAAACAGAAGUUCACUGGAGGAGAGCAGGAGUGCAUGGUUGACAGCAGCUGCUCAUUGGUUAAAUAUGGUUGUUUCUCAUGGGCUGGUCUGGGCUGUUGCUGGGCAAAGAGAAAAGCUUUCUCUGCUGGGGUGUGUAGAAUAAGCUUCUUCCUGCUGGGUCUGCAAGGGGCACUGAGAGGUAGUAUAUCAGAGCUCUCCCUUUGGAACAUCUUAACCUCGUUUUUGAAUGAGGGUUCCUUUAUUUAUUUUCAGUAAAUAAAGAUCUUUUGAUCAGGAUCUUUCCUCAAAAACUUCAUUGAUCAAGAGUCAGGUUUUGGUGCUUCUGUUCCUCUUUGCAGGGAAGGACCUUUCCUUGUCAUAGUCCACGUCAGAGGAAGGUACACAAAUUGAAAACUGUUGAAACCACAUUUGAGGGAGAACUCUCAGAUAACCUCUCAUCUAAAGUCUAUAAUCUUAUCAAGGUCAUAGCACUGGAGAUCAUCUCAAAGCAUUCCAUUAUGUUACUCUUUUUGGUGUAUCACCUCUGCAGAGAUUUGACAACAGGUACAGAGUUGAAAAAUAAUUAUGCAAAACAGUUAAAAGUGACACAAAAAAAUCAAGUGGCUUGGUGGUUCUUAACUAUAAUGCUAGACCUGAAGGUAACCAACUCAACAGAUCAAAGAGCCAUGGAGAGUCAGGUGAAAUUCGUUGUAACCAGUACACCUGCACCCUAAUCUUGUGCAGUUGAGUUUCUAUCUUCCCAGAGGCGUUAAUCUAUAUGCAACAGAUGGUAUUUGCUAUUGCACAAAUGCCUCCUUAUUCAGGAAGUAGAUAAACAAAGGCUAUGUGAUUGAUUGUCCAAAACUGCUUGAAGCCAGUGUGUCAUAUGAUCAUUGUUGGGGUGCUGCUAUCUUGACAGUGGAGUUGGUUAGCUCUCCCAAUGUAGGGAGAAAUUUUUGAUCUUGCAUUCAUUGGCACUUAACACCCGUUCAUGAGAGAAGGGCUUUCCCUGUGGAGGCAAACCUAGAGUCACGUGUGCUUCCUGGAAGUUCCUGUCUAAGGCAGCCAUGGAAGUUUAACAGGGAAGAACCAAUGAGAGUCUUCUGGUUUGUUAUACAUGUUGACAUUUAAAUGUCCUAAUAAGCAUUGACCUGCAAUUCACUAGCUGUUUAAACAUUCGUAUCCCCAUGAGAAAUGUCACUCACUACAAAGUCAAAAUCAGGUGGAGCACAGAGAACUUCAGCUCAGGUCUAGCUAUUGACAGCUUCAUUAGCUAGAAUUUCCUAAUUGACUUUUUCAAGCCAAGAGUCAGAAGAAUUGGGAUGAUAUUCUUUAUAAGGUACCAUCCCAGCCGAAGAGGUCUUUUCUAAAAGCCUUGCAAAGAGGAGCUGGCCUACUUGUGUUUCCAUUGGGUAUAGGUCAGCAUGGUUUUUUAAUAAAAGGUUUGGGGGGGGUAAAGGUCAUACAACUGUUGGAGUUGUUUUGUUGAACUAGUAUUGUCAUGGCUAAAGAAAGGUUGAAACAAGGCAUGGGGACACCUGGCUGUUAAUAGCCUAACUCAGUAGGUAACACCUGUAGGCUUGUGAGUAUAAUUGACAAUGAUAUUUGGGACUAAGGAGAAGUUGGUUACAGGUAAAAACGAGGGAUAUCCAACAUCAUGAACAGAAGGGAGUUGCUAGUGGCAACUCCAGCAGUCAGAGAGGUUUCCCCUUUUGCAGUAGAUUGGGGAAGGCAGACAAGAGCAUUGUCUUUCCAAGAAAGGGAGAAAAAGCUACGCAGACCUGAUGCAGUCAUCUUGGAAAAGCUGUCUCCUUCAGGUGUUGUCUGCUUCAGUUCUUGGAAAUCUUUAUUUGCAGGUCACCAGUUAGGACACAGGUCCAGACAGGCUUUGAUGCUUCCUUUAGAUAUGAUAUGUUAUUCCAAGAGCCAAGAGUUUUUCUGUUUUUGGUUUUUAGUUUGGUGGUACAAGGGUUUGUUAACAGUACUUAAUAGGGCCCUUUCCCGUAGGGUUGAAAGGGGUCUUUCUAGAGAUGUUUUUUCCAGUAGAUGAAAUCCCCAGGCUGCGGAGUGUGGUGUUUGAGGUCUUCAUCUCCCAGGAGUGCACUAUGAAAAGAUCGCCCUACUAAAGCAUGCUUAUUUCUGUGAUACACAUUUUAAGAUACUGACUAGAAUCCUGACUCAUAACCUCAUGCCAGGACAUAUCAGAAUUUUAAGAAUUUGAUACAAUUUGUAAGAUUUGUUAUCAAUAACAUUCACCCUUGUAAUAUAACCUGAGAAGGUUUAUCAUCACUUAUAUGACAGUGCUUCCUGUGUAAUUUAACUUACCAAAUAAGCCUCAUUAGUUUAAUAAAGAGAGAGAACAAAUCUUUUGGAAUGUUUUAGGAACAUCUGGAAAUGCCCAGGGUUACUUUUGGGUCAAAAAGACUUUUAUUUAGGGAGUUCCCGCUGUGGUGCAGUGGGUUAAUGAUCCAGCUUGUCUUUGUAGAGGUGCUGUUUCAAGGAUCCGGUGUUGCUGCAGCUGUGGCUCAGAUUCCACCUCUGGCCUGGGAACUGCUGUGGAGGCAGCUGAAAAAGAAAGAAAAGAGAGACUUUGUUUAUUUUUAUUUUUUAUUAAAUUUUUUUUUCCUUAAAGUGUAAUUGAUUUACAAUGUUCUGUCAGUUUCUACUCCACAAUAAAGUGAGUCAGUCAUACAUAUGCGUGUGUGUGUGUGUACGCGCACAUACACACACAUUCUUUUUCUCGUAUUAUUUUCCAUCAUGUUCUAUCACAAGUGAUUAGAUGUAGUUUCCUGUGCUAUAUAGCAGGACUUCAUUGCUUAUCCAUUCUAUAUGUAAUAGGUUGCAUAUGCUAAUCCCAAACUUCCAGUCCAUCCCACUCCUUCCUCUCCCCUUGGCAACCACAAAUCUGUUCUCUAUGUCUGUGAGUCUGUUUCUGUUCUGUAGUAGAUAAGUUCAUUUGUGCCACAUUUUUUAUUCCACAUAUAAGUGAUAUUGUAUUUGUCUUUCUCUUUCUGGCUUCACUUAGUAUGAGACUCUCUAGUUGCAUCUAAGUUGUUGCAAAUGGCAUUGUUUUGUUCUUUUUUUAUGGCUGAGUAGUAUUCCAUUGUACAUAUGUACCACAUCUUAAUCCAUUCAUCUGUUGCACUCUUCAUAAUAGCCAAGACAUAGAAACAAUCUAAAUACUUUUUUUAGAAUUUGAUUUUUUGAAAGUUUGUUGAAAAUAUCAAAAGGUUUUAGACACUUGACUAAGAUCACAGAUUAUUGUAAAACAAUGCUUAAUUAUCUAAGAAAGUUACAUAGCUCUGGAGUUCCUUCGUGGCUCAGUGGUUAACAAAUCCGACUAGGAACAAUGAGGUUUUAGGUUUGACCCCUGGCCUCACUCAGUGGGUUAAGGACCUAGCGUUGCUGUGAGCUGUGGUGUAGGUCACAGACGUGGCUUGGAUCCAGCAUUGCUGUGGCUCUGGCGUAGGCCAGCAGCUACAGCUCCGAUUAGACCUCUAGCCUGGGAACCUCUACAUGCCGCAGGUGCGGCCC
rnacentral:lncRNA from 1 species